UAGGGAAUCUUCCACAAUGGACGCAAGUCUGAUGGAGCAACGCCGCGUGAGUGAAGAAGGGUUUCAGCUCGUAAAGCUCUGUUGUUAAAGAAGAACGUGGGUAAGAGUAACUGUUUACCCAGUGACGGUAUUUAACCAGAAAGCCACGGCUAACUACGUGCCAG
rnacentral:rRNA from 1 species